ensembl:lncRNA
AAGCUCUCCUUCAAAAUUUGUAGACACCAUGGAUUUCUCAGCAGAAGUUGACACCGUGACUAUCAGUGGUGGUGGUGGUGGUGGUGGUGAUGAUUCAAGCGCUUCAGGUGAAAUGUAUAUAUUGCAUUCUAUUUUCCCCCAGUGCAAAAAGAUCUCUCACAUUUUCUGUGACUUUAUAGAUACAAGUGAUUUCGAAAAUGGUGGUAAUAUAGAAGAACAUGCGGAAUUAAACUCAGAAGCGGCUGUUCAAAUCAAUCACAAAUUACAGGAGCAACGUAGAAAGAAUUCUUCCAACUAAAAAAAGCUUUAUUGGAAAAUCAUUCAUUGGACAUCUUGAUAAUACAGUUGAAUAUGGUCCAGGUAGGGAAUUUGUCCCUUUACUGUACAACACACUGGAAACCUUGAAUAGAUGCAUCACAGUGAACAUAAAACUGAUAAGAAAAUUGUAUGUUAGAUAUGGCACAGAAAUGACCGAAAUGCAAUUCGGAUACAGAAGCUAAAAAAAUUAGAACCAAAAAUAUUCUGACAUCACCCCAUGAUUUCUAUUAUGAUGGAAACGAGAGUUCUUCAAAUGGUCUGUUACAUCAUGUUCCUUGUACAACUCUGAACCUAUAUUAAACUGAUGCGAUCAACCGGCUGAAUGAAAGUUUAAUUCCAUCACACCAGGUCGUUAGUCAGAGACCUGUCAGAGUCCCAAUUACAAUAUAUCAAAUCAGUGUCUGUUAGAGUUACAAAAUAACCUAAAUGAACAGUCAUUUAGUACAAUUAAACCCUGGUCUAAUCGAAGCAGUCAACCAAUUGAAUGAACAUUUAAGAUCAUCAGACCAGAGCAAUACUCAAAAUGAAAAUCCAAGCCAAAUUUCCAGGCAAAAUGCAUCAAACAAACUUGUGAUGCCAUGUGACAUAUUUUUCUAAUUAAAUCAAUGUUUGUUAGAAAAUAACCUAAAUGAACAAAGACAAUCUAUGCAGAUAAAUCCUUGUUUAAUAGAUGCAGUGAAUCAACUCAAUGAAAGCAUGGCUUUAUCUCCCGAUCACAAUAUAAUCUCAACUCCAGAAAUUGCUCAGGAACAUAGACUGUUAUCUGCUCAUGAUAUGUUAUACAAACUU